rnacentral:sRNA from 1 species
AUCUGAAGCUAUUGUGUCUUUGAAUAGCAACAUCAGGUUAGGUCUCCCUGUUUUUAUUUUCCUGAAUCUGCCAACAUAGGAUGCACAAGUUUGAAUGUUGUAAAGUUUUUCUUUAUCUUCAUCUUUUUAAAAAAUAAUUUAGUGUUUUGGUCUAGGGUAAUGUGCAGCUGUCUCCAAAACAACAUAGCCAAGGUAGUGCCAGUGAAGUACUCAAAGAAUGGACAGUAACAGGCAAGAAAAAGAACAAAAAGAAGAAAAACAAACCGAAACCUGCCGCAGAACCAAGUAACAGCAUCCCAGAUUCCAGUAAAUCAGUUUCCAUUCAAGAGGAACAGUCUGCGCCUUCCUCAGAGAAAGGUGGUAUGAAUGGCUACCAUGUCAAUGGUGCCAUCAAUGACACUGAGUCUGUGGACUCACUCAGUGAAGGUUUGGAGACACUUUCAAUAGAUGCCAGAGAAUUGGAGGAUCCCGAGUCUGCCAUGCUAGAUACGCUGGAUAGAACAGGAUCCAUGCUGCAGAAUGGUGUCUCUGAUUUUGAGACCAAGUCUUUGACUAUGCACU